CGUAGGUGGCUAAGCGUUGUCCGGAUUUAUUGGGUUUAAAGGGUGCGUAGGCGGUCUUUUAAGUCAGUGGUGAAAUACUUCAGCUUAACCGGAGAGGUGCCAUUGAUACUGGGAGACUUGAGUACUGAUGAGGUAGGCGGAAUGGACGGUGUAGCGGUGAAAUGCUUAGAUAUCGUCCAGAACACCGAUAGCGAAGGCAGCUUACUAAGGAGUAACUGACGCUGAGGCACGAAAGUGUGGGGAUCAAACAGGAUUAGAUACCCUGGUAGUCCACACUGUAAACGAUGAUCACUCGAUGUUGGCGAUACACAGCCAGCGUCUUAGCAAAAGCGAUAAGUGAUCCACCUGGGGAGUACGCCGGCAACGGUG
rnacentral:rRNA from 1 species